rnacentral:rRNA from 1 species
AACGAACGCUGGCGGCAUGCCUAACACAUGCAAGUCGAACGAAGCCUUCGGGCUUAGUGGCGCACGGGUGCGUAACGCGUGGGAAUCUGCCCCUUGCUUCGGAAUAACAGUUAGAAAUGACUGCUAAUACCGGAUGAAGUCUUCGGACCAAAGAUUUAUCGGCAAGGGAUGAGCCCGCGUAGGAUUAGGUAGUUGGUGGGGUAAAGGCCUACCAAGCCGACGAUCCUUAGCUGGUCUGAGAGGAUGAUCAGCCACACUGGGACUGAGACACGGCCCAGAGUCCUACGGGAGGCAGCAGUGGGGAAUAUUGGACAAUGGACGCAAGUCUGAUCCAGCAAUGCCGCGUGAGUGAUGAAGGCCUUAGGGUUGUAAAGCUCUUUUACCAGGGAUGAUAAUGACAGUACCUGGAGAAUAAGCUCCGGCUAACUCCGUG